rnacentral:rRNA from 1 species
UACGUAGGGGGCAAGCGUUGUCCGGAUUUAUUGGGCGUAAAGAGCGUGUAGGCGGCCUGAAAGGUCAGCUGUGAAAACUCGAGGCUCAACCUCGAGACGUCGGUUGAAACCAUCUGGCUAGAGUCCGGAAGAGGAGUGUGGAAUUCCCGGUGUAGCGGUGAAAUGCGCAGAUAUCGGGAAGAACACCCGUGGCGAAGGCGGCACUCUGGGACGGUACUGACGCUGAGACGCGAAAGCGCGGGGAGCGAACAGG